ensembl:lncRNA
GCCCUGAGUGCGUGAUUAUAUCCUUUCCCCUUUCGCUGUCUGCUAGGGUCCUCUAAUGGAUCACGCCCCCGCUGCCAAAAAAGGCCAGAGCGCAAGCAGCUGGCGAAGGGAACACCGGCUAAUAAUAAACCGGACCAGCGAGGGGGAUAAGGUUACCUUGAAGCUCCCCUUGCUCCUGCCUGUCUGCUUUGUGACCUAUUACCAUGUGAGGCGUAAAUAAUAUUGGCUAAACUGUUAGCACAUAUCUGCUGCCCCCCUUCGCUUCAGAUACCCUGCUUCCUUCAACCCUGUUUUCGCUCUCCCUCAGUACCGUUCCCCAUAGACUCCCUUCUGCUAUGCAAAGAGACCAGCCACACUGAAACUUCCAUCUACAUCAGCCCCCCCACCAAUGAUUUAGCAAAAAGUUCAACCUUGCUGGAUUAUAUGGCGGCCACACAAGAGCAACACCAUUUGAUACGUUGGUGUUCAAAAGGGAUUUAAAAGAAACAACAACAAACAAGAUCACAGAGAAAUCUGGCUACCCCUCACCUGAUUUGCUGAAGUAACCUUAAUUUCAACAUGGACGAGGCUGCAUCACAAGGCGCAGAAGCAGAGUCUACGAAACAACCCCCCAAGCAAGGCAACGGUUUCCCGAAAAUCCAACUCAAGCCGGUACAAUGGGUUAUAGCCAUCGUUCUCGUCCUGUCCUGGUCUGCGGUCGGUGCAUAUUUGUUCGACUUUGUUGAUGACAAACAAAUAGCCGCUAUUCAGGAAGUGAGCAUGGAUCCCAUGGCAGCAGCAAACAUGGCUGUAGAGGGAAUAAAACACAGCGCAGACAAGUUGGUGGCCGAAGUGUCUGAUGCUGUUUACAAUGCUCCAGAGAAUAUAUGUAACUCGGAAUACCUAAAGUCAAGUGGUCUCCUAAUGGAGGAUAUACGAGAAGGAAUAAAGGGGGUUGUCGUUGACGUAUUUGACAUCUUUGAAGGAACAAUACACACAGUGACCUACUAUCCAGACAUGAUGUUAACUGGAACAGUGGAUGCAAUCAGAUAUGUGACAAGCAUGAUGAAAGGGAACCGCCCCAAACUGGACACUCUGAAGUAUGGGGGUGUGGCAUUGGAAAACAUACGAGAUGGCCUUAAGGGCGUCAUCGGCUGCUUAUUUGACCUCUUCGAGGGAACACUCGAUGCUGUGGCCUUCUUUCCUCACAAGAUUUUGACUGGAGCAGCUGAUGGAUUCAAAUAUGUGACAAGUGUGGUGUCUGUGCCAAGCUUCCUCGCUCUCCCUACAGAGUGGAUAUCGGAGCUCAAUCUUAAUCCAAUGGAUGCCAUCAUGCAAGCAACUGAAGAAAUCACAAACCUGAACAAGGAUGCCUUUGACUCUGUGUCAAGCAUGUUCAAGGGCAGUGAAGAAAUAAGCUUUGAUCCCAUGAAAGUUGUGACUGAUGCAGUAGAGGAGAUCGCGGACAGGAGGAACAUGUUCUUGUCAUAUCUGUCAAACGUAAUGAUGGAGGACAAAGAUGAGACACCACCCAUGACCAGGAGGAAAGGGGAGUUUUUGCCUCCAAUGGAAAAAGUUGCAGAAAUUAUGGGAACAAGAGAAGCAGAGGUUGAAAAGAUAAAGAUUAAGAUAGCCACUACAACCUGGCCAGAAUACAUCCUGGAAGAUGAAGAACCAGUGGAUGAGCACACUGAGAAACACGAGGAUGAUCACCAGGAAGAACCUGACGUUAUCACAGCACCAGACAGUGACGCUCAAGCUGAAGAAAAUGAACCUGAGGAAUUACCUGACGCUGACAGCACUGAUGCUGUUUCCAAAGAUGAAGAGGAGACAGGGCAGGAACAGGAUGAAGAGGACACAGCUCAACAAGAGAGUCAAGAUAAUGAUGAAGACGAUGACGAUGGGGUUGAUAGGGACAGUAAUGAGGAAGCUGGCAUAGAUGAACUAGCCACUGAGGAGACAGCCUCAGAUGAGGAUGAGGAGACAGCCAUAGAUGAGGAUGAGGAUGACCAAAGUGAGGAAGAAGAAGAGAAGGCCGACCUGGCUGAUGAAUCUGAUUAUAGUGAUGUUGUGAAAGAGGAAGACUCUGAUUCCGAGGAACUUGCGCGUGAUACGGAGAGUGAGGUCAGUGAAGAAGUGAGAUCAGACACAGACAUAACGGAGUCUGAAGAGGAUGAUGAUUCUCAAAUCAGUGCAGAUGAAGAUGUAGAAGAAAUAGAGCCUGCAGCUGAUGCUGAAACUGC